CUCCGCCCCUGAGGGACAGCGCGGCCGCCGAAGGGGCGAUCUGGCGCCGGGAGUCAAGUUGGGCGGUCCCCGCAGCGCUGGGGAGCAGUAGAGACUUUGGGUUUAUCUUCUCCUUUUUGAGCCCUGAGGAAACACUUGAAGAGGGGCAGAAAGGGCCGUGAGGAGAGCUCCGGGCCGAGGCAGGGCUUGCUGAGCACGCGGAGUGCGGGUACGUGUGGGCCUUGGCGCCCUCACAGGUGGGAGAGCGCAGCUCUGCUCCUUCUGACUGCAUUCAGGCUCUGCUCGUAUCUCCCUGUAUCAGGAGAUAGAGAAGUUAAUAUUUUUUUUCCCUUACUCAGACAAUGUAGUGGAAUGGUUUUUUGUCAGUUGUUCCACAUCUCUUCAUUUAAGGGAAUGUGUAGCAUGAGAAGCUCAGGAUGGAGCUUGUCCUGCGUUCUUGGAUUCCUGCUUAGUUAUGGCCAUUACUAUCUGUGUAGUAUCCCAAAUACUGUUCUUUCGCACCCUCUUAAAAAUGUGACACCUAGAGAAGUUUCAGCCUACACAUCUUGUAUUGAAGAGUCAGCGUGCUUCUUCCUCAGCCUCAGGAUGAGGUUCUGAACAUAAGAACAUGGUUACCCCGUGCACAGUGCUCGAGCACACUGUUUCCAAAGUGAUAGAGAUAGCAAAUCUGAGUUUGGAGUCACCUUCACUUCAAUAUUCUAGAGCUACAGAAUGAAGUUGAAUACAACUCAACUGAAGUUGAAUGGAGGCUUCCGUAAUGCUGAGCCAACAACAUGGCAUCCGUUAAGGACUGAUUAGUGGCAG
ensembl:lncRNA